UAUCCUGUAGACCAAUGGGUAGGUCAUAAAUUUUUGGUAUUUAAUAUUGUGAGUUCGAAUCUCUCCAGGAUAA